rnacentral:rRNA from 1 species
CCUACGGGGGGCUGCAGUGGGGAAUCUUGCACAAUGGGCGCAAGCCUGAUGCAUCCAUGCCGCGUGUAUGAAGAAGGCCUUCGGGUUGUAAAGUACUUUCAGUCGUGAGGAAGGUGUUAAGGUUAAUAACCUUAGCAAUUUACGUUAUCGACACAAGAAGCCCCUUCUCACUCCGUGCCACCCGCCGCGGUCCUCCUGCGGGUGCGAGCGUUCAUCGGAAUUACUGGUCGUAAAGGGCACGCAGGCGGUUAAUUAAGUUGGAUGUGAAAUCCCCGGGCUUAACCUGGGAAUGGCAUUCAAGACUGGUUAGCUAGAGUCUUGUAGAGGGGGGUAGAAUUCCAUGUGUAGCGGUGAAAUGCGUAGAGAUGUGGAGGAAUACCGGUGGCGAAGGCGGCCCCCUGGACAAAGACUGACGCUCAUGUGCGAAAGCGUGGGGAGCAAACAGGAUUAGAUACCCGAGUAGUG